AAAUUGAAGAGUUUGAUCAUGGCUCAGAUUGAACGCUGGCGGCAGGCCUAACACAUGCAAGUCGAACGGUAGCACAGAGAGCUUGCUCUCGGGUGACGAGUGGCGGACGGGUGAGUAAUGUCUGGGAAACUGCCUGAUGGAGGGGGAUAACUACUGGAAACGGUGGCUAAUACCGCAUAACGUCGCAAGACCAAAGAGGGGGACCUUCGGGCCUCUUGCCAUCAGAUGUGCCCAGAUGGGAUUAGCUGGUUGGUGAGGUAACGGCUCACCAAGGCGACGAUCCCUAGCUGGUCUGAGAGGAUGACCAGCCACACUGGAAC
rnacentral:rRNA from 1 species